rnacentral:tRNA from 3 species
GUGGCUAUAGCUCAGUUGGCAGAGCGCCUGACUGUGGAUCAGGUGGUCGAGGGUUCAAAUCCCUCUAGCCACCCCA